rnacentral:rRNA from 1 species
GAUGAACGCUGGCGGCGUGCUUAACACAUGCAAGUCGAACGGAAAGGCCCAAGCUUGCUUGGGUACUCGAGUGGCGAACGGGUGAGUAACACGUGGGUGAUCUGCCCUUCACUUCGGGAUAAGCCUGGGAAACUGGGUCUAAGACCGGAUAGGACCACAUUUUGGACGGUGUGGUGGAAAGUUUUUCGGUGUGGGCUGAGCUCGCGGCCUAUCAGCUUGUUGGUGGGGUAAUGGCCUACCAAGGCGUCGACGGGUAGCCCGCCUGAGAGGGUGGACGGCCACCAUGGGCCUGAGAGACGGACCAGACUGCAACGGGAGGCAGUAGUGGGGAGUAUGGCACAAUGAGCGCGAGCCUGAUGCAGCGGCGCCGGGUGCGGGAUGACGGCCUUCGGGUUGUAAACUACUUUCGCUGGAGACGAAGCGCAAGUGACGGUACCUGGAGAAGAAGCACCGGCUAACUACGUG